rnacentral:rRNA from 1 species
AAAGUCGAACGGCAGCGCGGGGCAACCUGGCGGCGAGUGGCGAACGGGUGAGUAAUAUAUCGGAACGUACCCUGGAGUGGGGGAUAACGUAGCGAAAGUUACGCUAAUACCGCAUACGAUCUAAGGAUGAAAGCAGGGGACCGCAAGGCCUUGUGCUCCUGGAGCGGCCGAUAUCUGAUUAGCUAGUUGGUGGGGUAAAGGCCCACCAAGGCAUCGAUCAGUAGCUGGUCUGAGAGGACGACCAGCCACACUGGAACUGAGACACGGUCCAGACUCCUACGGGAGGCAGCAGUGGGGAAUUUUGGACAAUGGGCGCAAGCCUGAUCCAGCAAUGCCGCGUGAGUGAAGAAGGCCUUCGGGUUGUAAAGCUCUUUUGUCAGGGAAGAAACGGUGGGGGCUAAUAUCCUUUGCUAAUGACGGUACCUGAAGAAUAAGCACCGGCUAACUACGUGCCAGCAGCCGCGGUAAUACGUAGGGUGCAAGCGUUAAUCGGAAUUACUGGGCGUAAAGCGUGCGCAGGCGGUUUUGUAAGACUGUCGUGAAAUCCCCGGGCUCAACCUGGGAAUGGCGAUGGUGACUGCAAGGCUAGAGUUUGGCAGAGGGGGGUAGAAUUCCACGUGUAGCAGUGAAAUGCGUAGAUAUGUGGAGGAACACCGAUGGCGAAGGCAGCCCCCUGGGUCAAAACUGACGCUCAUGCACGAAAGCGUGGGGAGCAAACAGGAUUAGAUACCCUGGUAGUCCACGCCCUAAACGAUGUCUACUAGUUGUCGGGUCUUAAUUGACUUGGUAACGCAGCUAACGCGUGAAGUAGACCGCCUGGGGAGUACGGUCGCAAGAUUAAAACUCAAAGGAAUUGACGGGGACCCGCACAAGCGGUGGAUGAUGUGGAUUAAUUCGAUGCAACGCGAAAAACCUUACCUACCCUUGACAUGGAUGGAAUCCCUGAGAGAUUGGGGAGUGCUCGAAAGAGAACCAUUACACAGGUGCUGCAUGGCUGUCGUCAGCUCGUGUCGUGAGAUGUUGGGUUAAGUCCCGCAACGAGCGCAACCCUUGUCAUUAGUUGCUACGAAAGGGCACUCUAAUGAGACUGCCGGUGACAAACCGGAGGAAGGUGGGGAUGACGUCAAGUCCUCAUGGCCCUUAUGGGUAGGGCUUCACACGUCAUACAAUGGUACAUACAGAGGGCCGCCAACCCGCGAGGGGGAGCUAAUCCCAGAAAGUGUAUCGUAGUCCGGAUUGUAGUCUGCAACUCGACUGCAUGAAGUUGGAAUCGCUAGUAAUCGCGGAUCAGCAUGUCGCGGAGAAUACGUUCCCGGGUCUUGUACACAC